UAAACAAUUCAAAUUUUUUUUUUGGAUUUAGAGGCCUUAUUCUCUAAAACUUUGAGGAGAAAAAGAUUUUCCAUAUUAAAAAUUCAAAUUUGUAUAAACCAUCUAAUAGUGUUAACUUAAUAUAUUCGUAUUUCAUUGUCUUUAUGUGUUGUUGCAUAUAUAUACUAGAGAAAGAAUCAAAAUUGGUUUCAACCCAACCAUCUUACUUAUCAAGAAUGGGA
rnacentral:lncRNA from 1 species